rnacentral:rRNA from 1 species
GAUGAACGCUAGCGGGAGGCCUAACACAUGCAAGCCGAGCGGUAUUGUUUCUUCGGAAAUGAGAGAGCGGCGUACGGGUGCGGAACACGUGUGCAACCUGCCUUUAUCUGGGGGAUAGCCUUUCGAAAGGAAGAUUAAUACUCCAUAAUAUAUUGAACGGCAUCGUUUAAUAUUGAAAGCUCCGGCGGAUAGAGAUGGGCACGCGCAAGAUUAGCUAGUUGGUGAGGUAACGGCUCACCAAGGCGAUGAUCUUUAGGGGGCCUGAGAGGGUGAUCCCCCACACUGGGACUGAGACACGGACCAGACUCCGACGGGAGGCAGCUGUGAGGAAUAUUGGUCAAUGGGUGCAAGCCUGAACCAGCCAUCCCGCGUGAAGGACGACUGCCCUAUGGGUUGUAAACUUCUUUUGUAUAGGGAUAAACCUACCCUCGUGAGGGUAGCUGAAGGUACUAUACGAAUAAGCACCGGCUAACUCCGUGCCAGCCGCCGCGGUAAUAC